GAACUGCUAACAUGGCACCUGAUGGUCUCUCUUCAGAUGAGAAAACUCAAGGCUGAAGGUGGUUUGGUUUUCCCCAGGCAACAGCUUGUGUGGACUGUGGCUCUCAUUCUAGAUUUGCCCAGAGUGCCUCUUCAAGCACUAAAAUCAUACGUGAGGCUUUAUAAAUACUUGACUUCAUACCAUGCCAGCGUUUCUCAACUCUGAAUUUUGACCUUCUCCUGAUGGUGGAGGGAGGAAAGACUGGAUUUCUGUAGCUCAAGCACUAAGUCUGUUCUCCAGUAACAAGAAAAAAGAAGACUGGCUUUGCUAGCUGAUGGCCCACAGCUGACAUUGGUCUAGCAGCACAUUGCAGGAACUGCCAAAGUCAGGCCUAAGAUGAAGGAAGAAUUGGCUAUCCCAAUUCCCAGUAUGCUGCCCGAAACCAUUGAAAGGGAGGGCAGAGAGAGACAGAAUGUGAACAGGGUAGAGGCAGAAGGAGAGGAUGACACAGAAUCUGAAG